GCGCGGUCUAUAAUGCAAGUCGAGCGAAUGGAUUAAGAGCUUGCUCUUAUGAAGUUAGCGGCGGACGGGUGAGUAACACGUGGGUAACCUACCCAUAAGACUGGGAUAACUCCGGGAAACCGGGGCUAAUACCGGAUAAUAUUUUGAACUGCAUAGUUCGAAAUUGAAAGGCGGCUUCGGCUGUCACUUAUGGAUGGACCCGCGUCGCAUUAGCUAGUUGGUGAGGUAACGGCUCACCAAGGCGACGAUGCGUAGCCGACCUGAGAGGGUGAUCGGCCACACUGGGACUGAGACACGGCCCAGACUCCUACGGGAGGCAGCAGUAGGGAAUCUUCCGCAAUGGACGAAAGUCUGACGGAGCAACGCCGCGUGAGUGAUGAAGGCUUUCGGGUCGUAAAACUCUGUUGUUAGGGAAGAACAAGUGCUAGUUGAAUAAGCUGGCACCUUGACGGUACCUAACCAGAAAGCCACGGCUAACUACGUGCCAGCAGCCGCGGUAAUACGUAGGUGGCAAGCGUUAUCCGGAAUUAUUGGGCGUAAAGCGCGCGCAGGUGGUUUCUUAAGUCUGAUGUGAAAGCCCACGGCUCAACCGUGGAGGGUCAUUGGAAACUGGGAGACUUGAGUGCAGAAGAGGAAAGUGGAAUUCCAUGUGUAGCGGUGAAAUGCGUAGAGAUAUGGAGGAACACCAGUGGCGAAGGCGACUUUCUGGUCUGUAACUGACACUGAAG
rnacentral:rRNA from 1 species